GGAGUCCGUUGUGUUUUGACGAUGAGAAAGGCUUGGCCUUAUCUGUCCGAAGUGGGGAAGAAGUCAGCAUUAGCAGAAGACUCAGGUGACCUACUCCGGAGAGACCGCACUGGGGCCUGGCGCUCAGCAAGAAGCAGGUUCGUACCCCCCAACCCCAACUCUGAAAGCCAGCUCCUCACCAUCGGGGACCUGUCCUGUUCACAGUUUACUCAGAAUCGAGCCUGGAACAUCGGGGGAACGAGAUGGGACAUGUGUUGAAUGAAGAAGGACGCUAAAACCAAGGAGAAACGGGAUCAGGCAGCGGUGGCUGGGGCUGGAGCAGGUUACGACCCCAAAAUAACCACCCAGGACAACCGGCCUCGCUCAGAGUCUACACUACACUCUGCCUGUCAUGACCUGUAGACCCCUGAUCGAUAGACACAAUUACGAUGAAAGGUCACUCAAGUCAAUGGCCGUGCUUCUUG